GACGAACGCUGGCGGCGUGCUUAACACAUGCAAGUCGAACGGUGAAGCGCCUUCCUUUUUGGUUGGUGUGGAUGAGUGGCGAACGGUUACGUAACACUUGAGUAACCUGCCCCCUUCUUCUGGUUAACCGCAUGAAAGUGUGUCUAAUACGGGAUAUUCUGGUUCUGUCGCAGGAUGGGUCUGGUACAGAUGUUGUUUCGGUGGGGGAUGGGCUGGCGCCCUAUCAGCUUGUUGGUGCGGUGAUGGCCUACCAAGGCGGUGAGGGGUGGCCGGCCUGAGAGGGUGGACGGCCAGACAGGGACUGAGACACGGUUGAGACUGCGAUGGGAGGCAGCAGUCGGGGGUAUGGAACAGUGGGGGCAAGCCUGAAGCAGCGAGGCGGCGUGAGGGAUGGAGGCCCGCGGGUUGUGAACCUCUUUCGCCAGUGAAGCAGGCUUGCCUCGUUUGUGGGUGGGUUGACGGUAGCUGGUUAAGAAGCGCCGGCUAACUACGUG
rnacentral:rRNA from 1 species